CCUCCUGCAAAAAUCAAUAUAUAGGAGGUCUUACCUGCCCAGUGACAAUUUAAACGGCCGCGGUAUUUUGACCGUGCGAAGGUAGCGCAAUCACUUGUCUCUUAAAUGAAGACCUGUAUGAAUGGUAGAACGAGGGCUUAACUGUCUCCCUUUUUAGGUCAAUGAAAUUGAUCUGCCCGUGCAGAAGCGAGCAUAACAAUACAAGACGAGAAGACCCUUUGGAGCUUAAGGCCCCAGAUCAACUAUGUCAAGAACUUAAGUUAAACCAAAUAACACCUGAUCCCAGCCUUUAGUUGGGGCGACCACGGGAGAAAAUAAAGCUCCCAUGAGGACUGGACCCACCUCCAGAACCAAGAAAAACAUUUCUAAGUCACAGAACCUCUGACCAUAAAGAUCCGGCUAUCAGCCGAUCAACGAACCAAGUUACCCUAGGGAUAACAGCGCAAUCCCCUUUCAGAGUCCAUAUCGACAAGGGGGUUUACGACCUCGAUGUUGGAUCAGGACAUCCUAAUGGUGCAGCCGCUAUUAAGGGUUCGUUUGUUCAACGAUUAAAGUC
rnacentral:rRNA from 1 species